rnacentral:hammerhead_ribozyme from 1 species
AUCCAGCUGACGAGUCACGAAUAGGACGAAAUGCGCGUCCUGGAU